rnacentral:lncRNA from 1 species
GUCAAUGUGGUUUUGUUCCCUGCAUGCUUAGAAAUCGUCUUGGAGGGCUGGAGAGAUGGCUCAGCGGUUAAGAAAUCGUCUUGGUGGAUUUUGUGUGCAUCUAAGUCAUGCUUUCUUAAGGACACAUAAUAUGUCUGUCUUAAUUGUCUCCAGGAAUGGAGUGCAGACAUUCCUAAUACUUGUCUGUCUGGUGGAAGUGGAUGUCUGGGAGAGGUGCAGCCCACUGAAACUUAGCUCUCCUGAGAGGGCCAAUCAGGCUUAUCAUGGUGGUGGUGGCAGCUAGCUUACUUUUAGCAAGCCCUCACUGGGGUUGCUAUGAUUGUAACGUGAUAGCUCUUGUUAUCAGCCAUCUCUGGCUGGUCUUCCAAUGUUAUCACACAAAAUCUUUACCACAGUCCUACAAGUUAGGCACUUUUAUCUUCAUUAGUUUUGCUCUGGUUGCCUAGCAUGUGAGCCAGAACUUGAGUAGCCCAGCGUUCCCUCAAGCUCAGAUCAUGUAUCUUUUUGUACGUGGUAUUGCAGGUCCUUUUCAAGGCUUUCAGGAUCAAAGGUCUGUGGACCUAGGUGAUGAAUAUUCCUCCUCAUUUUUGAAAAAUACUACCCCCCCAUUAAAAAAAAACAAAAAACAAAAGCAGGUUGCAGGACUGGAGUGAUGACUCAGAGGUAAAGGACAGGUAUUGCUUUCCAAAAGGACCAGACUUCGGUUCUGAACACCCAUGUUGACAGCUCACAACUGCCCUGCCUGGAACUCGAUCUGACACCUUUGGCCUCCAAGGGCACCAUUCUCAAAUGCACAGACACACACAUUCACACUGGGGAUAAGUGAAAGUGGAUUUUUAAAAGGGCUGUGUCUUUCCCAUAGCACUCUGUUAGGAACAGUUUUAAGAGUCUCAGUAAAAGAGCAAUGCAGAUGGGAGCUAGAAAAGUGGUCUUCAGGUUUGAGCCUUUGGGGUGCUGUAGAAGUUGAACAUCUUUGGGUUUGUUUGUUUAUUUAUUUAUUUACUUAUUUAUUUAUUUAGGUUCUUUCAAGCCAGGGUCUUACUAUGUAGCUCUCUCUGGCUAUCUUGGAACUCACUAUAUAAACCAGGCUGGCCCUCAGACUCACCAAGAUCCAAGUGAUGGGAUUAAAGUUGUGUGCCUAGCUUUUGUUCAGUAUUUUUUUUUUUAGCUUUAAAAGUAAUCUUUAAGUGGGUUUAAUAAAGCUUUCACCCAUUCUAUCCCAAAUUUUAUCCCAUGUAUUUAUUGUAUGCUUCUACUGGUUGACUUCGUAAAUGGUUUAUUAUACUGACUUAUGCCUUUAAAGAUGAGGCUGAGGUGUGAUUCUUAUAUAUUAGGGUUUCACAUAAGUCAUCCUGUGAGAGGACAAGUGUGCUGCUGUUUAAUAGGAAAGGUCUGAGGUCUACUGUCCAUGCCGUAGCUAUGAUAAGAUUGUAGAUAUUUGGGGAGAAUAGGGACUGGGUGCUUUAGCAUAGCAACACUUAGAACAUCUACUUAUGUUUAGAAUAUGCUGGUCUGGCUCUGAGAGAGGAGACCUUAGGAAUCCUAGAAACCAGAAUGACAGUUACCAAGCCAGUGGCUAAUGGAGCUGAGGAGUCGGGAGUUGAAACCUGGCAAGGUGUGAGGAGGAGGAGCCCUCCAGAUACCUGGUACCACAUUAGGAACGGAGUGAGUGACAGAUCGUAUUCUCUGAUAUCUGGUAUGCUAUCUUAGAGGGUCAGGGCCGUUCCAGAGGGUGUGGGGGGGGGGGGCACAAUGAUCAAACAGAGACCCAGGGUUCUUUGGCACUGUGCCAUGCUUCACUGAAGCUGUCAGAAUUUAGAAUUGGAGGAGAAGAAAGACCCUCCCUCAUGCCUGCCAUUCCCCAUGGGACCAGCGCAACAGACACAGGGCUUCCUUUUUCUUGGUUAAUUACUGUAGUUCCCUUGCUGCAGAUGUGUGGACUGUUCUAUAUUUGCAGGAACUCUGGGCAAGGCUCGCUGUCUGUGGUUUUACUUUUCUUCAGGGUAGCAUGUGUCCGUUCUAACCCUAAAUUACCUUUCUCCCAACCCCCAAACCAAAAACAAAAAACAAAAAACAAAACACAAACUAUGCCUUU